CGAACGUAUGUAGUGCGGGGAAUAUGUGGCUGGUUGAUUUUUUUGUGUGUUUUUAUGGUGGGGGAUAACUAUCUGUAUCAACUCAUAGCAAAAUGCUUCAAAGACACUACAAACUCCAGUGUCGACCAGCCACCAUGAGUGUAAAUUAGCCGUUUGAACGUGGAUGGACUUCAGAAGUCCUAUGGGCUGUGUCCACUCAAGAGUGUUGACUUACUGAAACCCCUGAGGCUUGAUGGGAGACUCGUAUGAUUUGAAUGGUGUUGUGGCCUCCGAGGGUGACGGGACAGUUGCUUGGUCCGCCAACCUGGGUGUGAUUCCAUGAAAAUGUUCCAAUGAAGUUACUCCCAUGAUGCCGGUGGGUGAAGAGGACAGCUAAUUGGUCUGCCAACCUGGAAGUGAAGCCCUGAAAAUACAGCAAGUAAUGCCUUUGGGAUCAGGUGAUGGGGUCAAAGACGCCGUGCCAAGGACAGGACUCAAGAACUGAAAUUCACCAAAUUAAUGAUCAGUGACUGAAACAAAGAAACUAGUUCAAUGCAAACAUUAGAGAAUGUCAAGUUUUAAUGGUGUACUUAAUACCAGAAAGUCACAGGGCUUUAAGCCCCACAGUUAAUCAGUGUGAAAGGCUGAAUUGUAAGGUGCUUUCUUGAGUGUGUCCAGGAAGAACUGCUCGUCCUGCAGAAAGUCACGAUCCUAAGAAGAUAAAACAAGUACAUUAAUCUACAAUAAAGAUUUUGAAACUA